UACGUAGGGCGCGAGCGUUGUCCGGAAUUAUUGGGCGUAAAGAGCUCGUAGGCGGUCUGUCACGUCGGCUGUGAAAACCUGGGGCUCAACCCCGGGCCUGCAGCCGAUACGGGCAGACUAGAGUUCGGCAGGGGAGACUGGAAUUCCUGGUGUAGCGGUGAAAUGCGCAGAUAUCAGGAGGAACACCGGUGGCGAAGGCGGGUCUCUGGGCCGAAACUGACGCUGAGGAGCGAAAGCGUGGGGAGCAAACAGG
rnacentral:rRNA from 1 species